rnacentral:rRNA from 1 species
UGGGGAAUAUUGCGCAAUGGGCGAAAGCCUGACGCAGCGACGCAGCGUGAGGGACGAAGGUCUUCGGAUUGUAAACCUCUUUCAGCAGGGACGAAGCGAAAGUGACUGUACCUGCAGAAGAAGCACCGGCUAACUACGUGCCAGCAGCCGCGGUAAUACGUAGGGUGCAAGCGUUGUCCGGAUUUAUUGGGCGUAAAGAGCUCGUAGGCGGUUUGUCGCGUCGGAUGUGAAAACCCAAUGGCUUAACCUUGGGCCUGCAUUCGAUACGGGCAAACUAGAGUGUGGUAGGGGAGACUGGAACUCCUGGUGUAGCGGUGGAAUGCGUAGAUAUGCGGAAGAACACCUGUGGCGAAGGCGGCAGCCUGGGCCGAAACUGACGCUGAGGAGCGAAAGCCAGGGGAGCAAACA